CAAAAGCCAGUGCCACUUCUCCUUCUUGCUAAUAGAUUCUGUCACUAAAAUACAGAAACUGGGGCCCUGAACUGACCUGAUGGCUCAUGAGAAGGCGGUUACUAUGCCAUGAAAUUCCUGUCUUGUACUACAACAGCAAGGAAGAAGAGACUAGAACUUCUCUUUCUGCUACCUCUCCUCAGGAAGCUGCAGAGAGCAAUGAGGAUGCAUCAGUCUUUGUUCUUCUAGACUAGACAGCCCACAUGUCUUCAUCCUCUCCUCACAGGACAUGUUUUCCAGCCCUUUUAUCAGCCUUCUUGCCCUUCUCUGGAUGCUUUCAAGAACAUUAUCAUCCUUUUAAUAUGUGGAGCCCAGAAAUGCACGCAGUAGUCAAGGUCAAGGGAGGUAAUUUUUCUUCUGUAGUGAGAGUUGGGGCCACGCCUGAAGUACUGUGUCCAGUUCUGUGAUGAACUUACAAAAGCAAGUCCAUCAAAAAGCCAAUGAGAUGAUUAAAAGACUAUAGUACAUCUUGUAGGAGAAGAAGCUGAGAGCCUGUUUAGCCUGGAGAAUUCUCACAGGAGAUCUUAUUAAAAUGAAUAAAUACAUUAUCUGAAGAAAUGAAGAAGUGGUAGACAGCUGCUUUUUAGUAGUGCCCAGUUAAAGGAAAAGCAGCAAUGGGCACAAAUAAAAAUAUGUGAAAUUCUAAUUAAUGCACGAUAACACCUUUUCCUUUCUUUAACGCUGAAACAACGUCACAGUU